CACGGUGAAACUCUGUCUCUGCUAAAAAUACAAAAAAUUAGCCGGGCGUGGUGGCGGGCGCCUGUAGUCCCAGCUACUCGGGAGGCUGAGGCCGGAGAAUGGCGUGAACCCAGGAGGCGGAACUUUCAAUUCUCUACAAUGGAGACUGUUUCUUCUCCCUUCUUAGUGAUUACAACUGGUACUUACAUUUUUUUUUUUCUUUCAAGAUCAUGAAGCCAUGUUGUCUCUAUCUUUCCUCUACUUCAUCCUUUACUUAGUAGCACCGAUAGCACUUUUAACUUAUGUCUGGUUAAAAGCCAGACAUCCUGGAUUCAGAUUCUAGCUUGACCACUUAUAAGCGCCAUGAAUGUGGCCUGGUUGAAGAUGGCUGCGUGUAAACCAGAAUGCAAAUCAGCUGGGGCACGUACUACUGGAGGCAGUGUCCCAUGAGAAGGGGCCAAGAACCCGCACCCACCAAAAUCAAGAUGAAAGGCUGAACCUGGAGAGAAAAGGGAGUUGAGCCUGCGGAGGGAGAUGGGAUGCAGCUGAGAGGGGAGCGCCAGUGGAGAGGUGGUGGGAGCCAAGCCAUUAGAGGAAGGAUCACACAAUGUCCAGAGCAACUGAUGUUGCCAUGCAGAUCCCUUGGUUGCUAUGAGAUGGUAACAUCACUCUGCCCCGUGAUUGGCCAGUGUCUCCUCAGCUGCGGUGCCUCCCAGGCUGUGUGGUUCUCAUGUGGGCCACUGACACAGAGCUGUUACUAUGGUGAACUUUACAAUUUCCUUUGAUUGGUGGAUUUCAGAAAUAGGCCAUCAGUGGAAUUCAUUAUAUUCAGCUAAGUAAAAAUGAAAAAUACCGUAACUUUCCCCUCAUCACCAACAUGAAGGAAAUGUGACCCUUCAUGACAUAAUAAAUCGCUAUUAGGUAACUUAGGAUCCUUCAGGGGACUGAAGCGAGAUGAUCUUCCUAUGCCAAAUUUGGGUGGGAAAUAUUUUUCCUGUUGCUUUGAGUUGGUUCUUCAGAGUUAAGAGCAAUGGGCCAACCAGAGCUGGAACUUCAGCGUUGGGAGGAGGUGUGGGAUGGGGCAUGCACUGAAAUGUAAACUCUAUUGUCUCUGGAGUGAUGGGUGAUGCUGGGGGCCUGAGUGUGGAGGGCAGUUUUACAUCUCAGGACAAUGUUUUCUCAGAUGCUCUUCCAGAAAGGAAAGCCAGGAAUACUCCUGGCUGGAGGCGGCAUGCCUGGGGUCAGAGUCAAAGUAGGGUUUGUGCUGUCUGAAUCCUUUCUCCCACUCCCCCAGCCUCGCUCAGCUUCUCCUAGAUGGAUUGGUGAACCCUGGCCAAUUAUGCUUCUGCUCAUCUCUACUCUCGGCAAAUAGGAAAAGAGAGUGAAGGACUGAGUUUUAACUCUUCUAAUUUUGUAGCCUGACUCUCUAUAAGAAAAAGUGGGAGAAAGACCGAUGAAACCGAGAGAAGACGUGAAUUAUUUUAAGUGCAUCAGAUCUACCUUUCUAACAAGUCUUGUUUGGAGUGA